CAAUAAGCGGAGGAAAAGAAACCAACAGGGAUUGCCUCAGUAACGGCGAGUGAAGCGGCAAAAGCUCAAAUUUGAAAUCUGGCCCCCCCCGCGGGGGUCCGAGUUGUAAUUUGCAGAGGAUGCUUUGGGCGCGGCGCCUUCCGAGUGCCUUGGAACAGGUCGCCUCAGAGGGUGAGAGCCCCGUACGGUUGGACGCCUAGCCCGUGUAAAGCUCCUUCAACCGAGUCGAGUAGUUUGGGAAUGCUGCUCAAAAUGGGAGGUAAAUUCCUUCUAAAGCUAAAUACUGGCCAGAGACCGAUAGCGCACAAGUAGAGUGAUCGAAAGGUGAAAAGCACUUUGAAAAGAGAGUCAAAUAGCACGUGAAAUUGUUAAAAGGGAAGCGUCUGCGACCAGACGCGCCGCCCGCGGCUCACCCGGCGCCUCGGCGCCGGGGCACGCCGCGGGCGUCGGGCCAGCAUCGGCUCUGCCGUGGGUACAAGGACCGCGGGAACGUAGCUCCCUCGUGGAGUGUUAUAGCCCGCGGCACCAUGCCCGCGGCGGGGCCGAGG
rnacentral:rRNA from 1 species